UGGAUCCACACUUUGAUCAUGGCUCAGGAUAAACGCUGGCGGCGCACAUAAGACAUGCAAGUCGAACGGACUUAACUCAUUCUUUUAGAUUGAGAGCGGUUAGUGGCGGACUGGUGAGUAACACGUAAGCAACCUGCCUAUCAGAGGGGAAUAACAGUGAGAAAUCAUUGCUAAUACCGCAUAUGCUCACAGUACCACAUGGUACAGUGAGGAAAGGAGCAAUCCGCUGAUAGAUGGGCUUGCGUCUGAUUAGCUAGUUGGUGGGGUAACGGCCUACCAAGGCGACGAUCAGUAGCCGGACUGAGAGGUUGAACGGCCACAUUGGGACUGAGAUACGGCCCAGACUCCUACGGGAGGCAGCAGUCGGGAAUAUUGCGCAAUGGAGGAAACUCUGACGCAGUGACGCCGCGUAUAGGAAGAAGGUUUUCGGAUUGUAAACUAUUGUCGUUAGGGAAGAUAAAAGACUGUACCAAGGAGGAAGCCCCGGCUAACUAUGUGCCAGCAGCCGCGGUAAUACAUAGGGGGCAAGCGUUAUCCGGAAUUAUUGGGUGUAAAGGGUGCGUAGACGGAAGAACAAGUUGGUUGUGAAAUCCCUCGGCUCAACUGAGGAACUGCAACCAAAACUAUUCUCCUUGAGUGUCGGAGAGGAAAGUGGAAUUCCUAGUGUAGCGGUGAAAUGCGUAGAUAUUAGGAGGAACACCAGUGGCGAAGGCGACUUUCUGGACGAUAACUGACGUUGAGGCACGAAAGUGUGGGGAGCAAACAGGAUUAGAUACCCUGGUAGUCCACACUGUAAACGAUGGAUACUAGGUGUAGGGUGUAUUAAGCACUCUGUGCCGCCGCUAACGCAUUAAGUAUCCCACCUGGGGAGUACGGCCGCAAGGUUGCAACUCAAAGGAAUUGACGGA
rnacentral:rRNA from 1 species